GGAGUUAGCCGGUGCUUCUUCUGUGAGUGAUGUCCUUCCUGCCGGUUAUUGACCCGCAGGCCUUCUUCCUCACUGAAAGUGCUUUACAACCCGAAGGCCUUCUUCACACACGCGGCAUGGCUGGAUCAGGGUUGCCCCCAUUGUCCAAUAUUCCCCACUGCUGCCUCCCGUAGGAGUCUGGGCCGUGUCUCAGUCCCAGUGUGGCUGAUCAUCCUCUCAGACCAGCUACGGAUCGUCGCCUUGGUGAGCCGUUACCUCACCAACCAGCUAAAUCCGACAUAGGCUCAUCCGAUAGCGCGAGGCCCGAAGGUCCCCCGCUUUCCCCCGUAGGGCGUAUGCGGUAUUAGCCUGGGUUUCCCCAGGGUUAUCCCCCCACUACCGGGGCCAGAUUCCCUAUGCAUUACUCACCCGUCCGCCGCUCGCCACCAGGGAGCAAGCUCCCCGUGCUGCCGCUCGACUUGCANGUGUAGUCGUCGCCGCCGACGCGUCACUACUGAGCACUGAUACAACUACUCGA
rnacentral:rRNA from 1 species